rnacentral:rRNA from 1 species
AUGGCCUCGGCGGGGUUCCUGUUGGGCUUCCUCCUCGGCCUGCUCGCGCUCGCGGCGGCCGAGGCGGCCGCGCUGCUCUGGGUCGCGCGCCGCCUCCGCCGACGGCAGGAGGGGGCCGCGGCCGCCGGGCAGCCCGAUGGCGAGGAGCUCCCCGGCGAGCAGCCGUUCCCCUUCGAGAAGAAGGGCUCUCUGUGGAUACUAGAGCCAGAAAAGCUACCAAAAGUUAGUAAUGAGCGCUUAUCAAGUGGAGGCCCCAAAGAGACGAAGGAGAAAAAGAGUAUUGUCGAGGUUUUUCCUGCAAAGAAAUCGGCUAAAAUCAAGGGGCACUCACUUAGUUUGUCUGGUCCUGAUGGCCCUGACACUACGAUUGAGCUUUUGAAUUGCACGGUCGUUGCUGUUUCUGCAUCAAGUAUGUCCUCACGCAAAUGGACUAAGAGGUAUCCGAUAAAAGUGGAAAGCCAGGAAUCUGAGAUAUAUAAUGGAAGCAAGGUGUGCUUUCUUUAUGCUGAGACUUCAUGGGAGAAGGAAUCAUGGUGUAAAGCACUUCGUCUUGCAGCUACUGCUGACAAGGAGAAAUUGAAUUGGCAUGCUAAGUUGAGCAAAGAGUUCGGUAAUUAUAUAUCAUCACUGAAUUCUGAAUACCCGUGUUUCCUAAAGCCUACAGCAAUGUCAGCUGAGGAUCAUGAGGUUAUGGAUAGUGAAACAAAGACGGACGGGUCUUCCAAAGUUCGUCUUUUCCUCAAAAAGCUAGCAAAGAAGGCAUCUACAAAGGUUCCCGUAGAGGGUAAAACAAGUGCUGCGUCAUCCACACAAGGUGAAAGAAAGAUGUUAGAUAAAUUACGCAGCUAUCAGGCUGCACCGUUUAUUGAAUCCUUCCUAGGUCCACAAGAGGACAAGUUCAGUAGCAGCUCAUCACAAGAUGCAGCAAAACCCAGUGUCCCAACUGCUCCAUCGAGUCACACUGGACAGCUUCCAGCUUUUCCUGAUGUAAAUGCAGAUGAUAAAGUUGUGGAUGAAGGUACACUCUGUUGGAACCUUCUAUCCUCACGGCUCUUUUUCGAUGCUCAAAUGAGUGAUGAGAUAAACAAGGCCAUAAAAGCACGUAUUCAGCGAACAUUAUCAAGCAUGAGGACCCCAGCUUAUGUGGGUGAAAUUACACUUACGGAGUUCAGCCUUGGAAAACUUCCACCUUAUGUGCAUGCGAUGAGAGUUCUUCCACUGGAUUUAAAUGAGCUGUGGGCCUUUGAAGUUGAUUUUGAAUAUUCAGGCGGAAUAUUGUUGGACAUUGAAACGAGGCUUGAGGUUGAGGAACCAGAGUUACAAAAGGAUCUCAUGAAAACCAAUUUCGGAACAGACUCUAAUGGGGAGGUUGACUCCGAGCUUCUUGAGAGUAUUGAGCAGUAUGGUAACCAGUUUAGAGGUUCACAGAACUCAGUUUCUUCAGUGGAAGGAAAAGACGAAGCAGAUGCUAGUCAGUCAAAGAGCACUGGAUGGACAUCAACUUAUAUAUCAAGGUUGAAAAAUAUGUUGCACUCAAUAGCCGAUCAUGUCUCACAGGUUCCACUUUCUCUGGCGAUAAAAAUCACAUCUGUUAGAGGUACCUUGCGCAUACAUCUGAAGCCCCCUCCGUCGGAUCAACUCUGGUAUGGAUUCACAUCUAUGCCUGACCUGGAGUGGGACUUGGAAUCCUCUGUUGGUGAUAGGAAAAUUACCAACAGUCGCAUCGCAUCACUUAUUGGUAACAGAAUCAAGGUUUCGCUCCGUGAUAGCUUGGUGCUUCCAAACUGUGAAAGCAUUUCCAUUCCAGGGAUGUUGGCAGAAAAGGAUGACUGGGUCCCCCGCAAGGAUGGACCUUAUAUCUGGCUCAACCAUGAACCCACCGAGGCCAAAAGCCAUGUCGCAGCCGCCACACCAACCCAUCCCGAGGAAGCUGGCCCCAAGGACGAUGCCAUCAGCAAAAGCAGAGCACCAAGUCUGCCUGCUUCCUCAGCUGGGAGCGAGGAGUCCCUGAAAUCCAUCGACGAGUCAGCCGAAGACCCUCCUGCAGAAGCAUCUCAUGCGCAGUCUCUCCUGGCUGAGACCGCCUCUCCUCCUCACCCGGACGCUACCGACGAGCCGAGGAAACCGCUGCUGGCCACGGAGAAGCUCCAGGCAGACUCAUCGGAGAGCAGGGCGGGAUCCCCACCGUACACCUCCCUGAGGGCCAUCAUACCUGCUGGGGAACAGCAGCAGCAGCAGCAGGCGGUGGCGGCAGCAGCGGGCUCUGUUGGAGAUGAUGCAAAGCGGAAGAGCGGGAGGCGGAGCCGGAUGAUGGACCUGGGGAAGAAGAUGGGGGACAAGCUGGAGGAGAAGCGGCGGCAGGUGGAGGAGAAGGGCAGGCACAUCGUUGAGAAGAUGCGGGAGAACGCGAGGACCAACAGCAUGGAGAGAACCACCUCCGCGUAG